rnacentral:rRNA from 1 species
UACGUAGGGUGCAAGCGUUGUCCGGAGUUACUGGGCGUAAAGCGCACGCAGGCGGUCUGCUAAGUUUGGAGUGACAGUUGGUGGCUUAACUGCCAAAGUGCUUCGAAAACUGACAGACUUGAGGGCUUCAGAGGGACACGGAAUUCCGGGUGGAGUGGUGAAAUGCGUAGAGAUCCGGAGGAACACCAAAGGCGAAAGCACUCUGCUGGGCCGACACUGACACUGAGAGACGAAAGCUAGGGGAGCAAAUGGG